GACUCAGUAGCUCAACGGUUAGAGCACUGAUGUAUAUAGUCAGAGGUCGUUGGUUCGAUUCCAGCCCUUGUCA
rfam:Hebeloma cylindrosporum h7 unplaced genomic scaffold scaffold_17, whole genome shotgun sequence.